AUACCUACUUGGCAGGGGAGACAACAUGAUCAUGGAGAUAGUUUUCAGAGGGUGUUCAUCCUUUGCCCUCUGGGUGUUUGAUUUUGCCAAUGUUGGGAAUUCAUCUGCAUAAUUUAAUAACAUAAAAGUAGCUUUGCUACAUAUUGC
ensembl:snRNA U1 U1 spliceosomal RNA